AUUAGGGGCUGGGAAUGGGCAGUGACGUGCUCUUUACGACAGGCAUAUAUACAGAUACCUGGGGUCCUUGGCCAGGUAACUCGUCUAUGCUGCUAGCUUUGUUUGUGCGAGGCAGCGUUGUGGGUUCUGUGGUUCGUUUGAAGAUCGUGUGGGAGGGAGCCAAAACAGACGUGGCUGUGAAUUGUCUUCCGUAGCGGCGUGAUGAUUGUUGUGAUUAACUAACGCCACCACAGACCGACGCAGCUUCACGAUGCUCGCUGCUGUUCUUUUAUGAUUGGUUGUAUGCGUGUGUGAGUUUGCUACUCCGAGUGAUGUGGUUUGAUUUUCCCUCUAGCCUGGGGACUGUUUCUAUGUCCUGGUGAACGUGUUGUGAGUCCCAGGUUAGAGGGGUUUUCUCUUUCUUUUGUGUUGUCCCUUGUGUUCCCCAUAGUCAGCCCCGGUACUGGUCCAGCCACAACACCUUAUAGGCCCAGGGAAGCCGGUCUCCGUAGUGUGAAACUUCACCUAGUGACUAGUGUUGCCUUGCUGUGUAUUCCUUAACAUAUCUGAGUGGUUCACUUGAAGUUUGUAGUGUGUUGCCUAAAAAAGGGUUGUGUGCACCUAUUCACGUGUGGUAUUGAGACCGUAGCUUCCACUAGCUUCCUUCCCCUAAUCAGUGGGUGGACUGAUUAACCGGCGGCUGUUACUAUUCCCUUGAUGUAUUUAUUGACCACACUGUACAACCUCC
ensembl:lncRNA